UACGUAGGGUGCGAGCGUUGUCCGGAAUUAUUGGGCGUAAAGAGCUCGUAGGCGGUCUGUCGCGUCGGUCGUGAAAACUUGGGGCUUAACCCUGAGCUUGCGGUCGAUACGGGCAUGACUGGAGUUCGGCAGGGGAGACUGGAAUUCCUGGUGUAGCGGUGAAAUCCGUAGAUAUCAGGAGGAACACCGGUGGCGAAGGCGGCUGCCUGGACCGAUACUGACGCUGAGACGCGAAAGCGUGGGGAGCAAACAGG
rnacentral:rRNA from 1 species